AUGGACAGUAUUUUCUAUGGAAAUUUGCUUAAAAACACCCUGGUCGAAUCACUCAACGAACCUACGAAAAAGUGAAAUCAAAGAAUUGAAAGAAGGCCGAAAAGAAACAGCAAUGCUACCAAUCACGGAGAUCGUGACCACUCCUAGAGAGCACGCGGUGUCCUAAAGGCCUCGUGGCCGGUCUCCAGGACACCGUACUCUUCCGCUCCCAGAGGUCCCGAGCGGCGGAAGUCGUCACUUCCAGAGAGACGGAGCCCACGCCGUGCACCCGGCAGUAGGCUCGCCAUGGCGAUGGGCGGAGGUGGCGGCGUCCCGGAGCAGGAGGAUUCGGUGUUGUUCCGGCGUGGCACCGGCCAGAGUGAUGAUUCUGACAUUUGGGAUGAUACAGCAUUAAUAAAAGCUUAUGAUAAAGCUGUGGCUUCGUUUAAGCAUGCUCUAAAGAAUGGUGACAUUUCUGAAGCUUCAGAUAAACCAAAAGGCGCACCUAAAAGAAAACCUGCUAAGAAGAAUAAAAGCCAAAAAAAGAAUGCUACAAUACCCCUGAAGCAGUGGAAAGUUGGUGACAAAUGUUCUGCCAUUUGGUCAGAAGACGGCUGUGUUUACCCAGCUACCAUUGCAUCAAUUGAUUUUAAGAGGGAAACCUGCAUUGUGGUUUAUACUGGAUAUGGAAAUAGGGAGGAGCAAAAUAUGUCUGAUCUACUUUCCCCAGCCUCUGAAGUAGCUAAUAAUGUAGAACAGAAUGCUCAGGAGAAUGAAAAUGAAAGUCAAAUUUCAACAGAUGAAAGUGAGAAUUCCUCUAGGUCUCCUGGAAAUAAACCAGAUAACAUCAAGUCAAAAGCUGCGCCAUGGAACUCUUUUCUCCCUCCACCACCCCCCAUGCCAGGAUCAGGACUGGGACCAGGAAAGCCUGGUCUAAAAUUCAGUGGCCCACCACCACCUCCACCACCACCACACUUCUUAUCAUGCUGGCUGCCUCCAUUUCCUUCUGGACCACCAAUAAUUCCCCCACCACCUCCCAUAUGUCCAGAUUCUUUUGAUGAUGCUGAUGCUUUGGGAAGUAUGUUAAUCUCUUGGUACAUGAGUGGCUAUCAUACUGGUUACUAUAUGGGUUUCAAACAAAACCAAAAAGAAGGAAGGUGCUCACAUUUCAAUUAAGAAGUAAUUCAUACAGUAUUCUCUAAUAGGGGCAGCUCUCUCCCAAGGAGAACAGUAUUUGAUGCGCCAUGGUCAACAUGAACAAAAUUUCAUCUUCUUCUUCAUGAACCGUUGGUUGGGUGGUAUAAUCACCUGCAUUUUCCCUUGUUGCAUGUGACUCAUGCUUAAAUAACCAGGCAUGUGUUUCAAGGGAAUAAUCAGUUUGAAUAACUCAACAAUGGAAAUGUGAGUAAUUAAAGAAACUCAGUCACGUGUAGUACAGAAAAGUCAAUCUGUGAAAAUUUCAACUCAGCCCGUUUGUAUAUUGUACCUUUCUUAGUAUAAAGUAUGUUAAGCUUUUUAUUAAUGCCUUUAAAAAUAAAUGGUGAAUUUUUUUAACCUU